rnacentral:rRNA from 1 species
UACGUAGGUGGCAAGCGUUGUCCGGAUUUACUGGGCGUAAAGAGCGCGCAGGCGGUCGUUCAAGUCGCGUGUGAAAGCCCCCGGCUCAACUGGGGGGGGUCACGCGAUACUGAUCGACUCGAAGGCAGGAGAGGGUAGUGGAAUUCCCGGUGUAGUGGUGAAAUGCGUAGAUAUCGGGAGGAACACCAAUGGCGAAGGCAGCUCGCUGGGACGGUACUGACGCUGAGACGCGAAAGCGUGGGGAGCAAACAGG